rnacentral:rRNA from 1 species
UACGUAGGGGGCAAGCGUUGUCCGGAAUUAUUGGGCGUAAAGAGCGCGUAGGCGGUCCGAUAAGUCGGCUGUGAAAGUCAAGGGCUCAACCCUUGAAAGCCGGCCGAUACUGUCGGACUAGAGUCCGGAAGAGGCGAGUGGAAUUCCCGGUGUAGCGGUGAAAUGCGCAGAUAUCAGGAGGAACGCCAAUGGCGAAGGCAGCUCGCUGGGACGGUACUGACGCUGAGACGCGAAAGCGUGGGGAGCAAACAGG